CUGACAGCUCUGGAAACUUGUAUUCUUUUUAUACACAGAUCAGAUACACAAGAAUAUGCACCAGUGAAAGCUUCCCCACACAUUGCCCUGCCAAUGUGCCUCAGCCCUGACCGAGCAGGGAGGGUAAUUUAAUUGUUGUCCUCUUUGUUGAGACUGCUAACAAGAGUGCCAGGUGUCAGGCAUUGUAUAUC
rnacentral:sRNA from 1 species